GCUACAGAUCCCUGGAGGUCAAGGGCUGCGAGGGACUGGAGUUGCCAUCAGAGACCCACUGAUCUUGCUCUUGGCUGUAUUGUGGGGAAGAACACGUCUGUGUCACUGUUUCCAAAGGAAACUCAGCUAGAUUCAAGCUCACGCAGGAAGAGCGCUGAGUGAGAGGCAGCCGGCCACAGGCCCCGUGCUACUUGCAGCAUUUUUACUCGCCUCGUUUCCUCAUCACGGCAAUUUGACGAGGUUGCUUCGGUUCACAUUGUCUAUGGUGAGUGACUGAGAUGACGUCCCUGAGGCCGCCCAGCUGGAAACAGCCACGAGUCAAGCCCAGGCCUGGUUCCAAGUUCAGUUCUUCCUCAUGUGGAAAGAACCGUUUCCCCCCAGCUGCUGGGGCACCCGCCCUCUGCUUCUUCACUUGGUGGUGUUUUUAUUUAUGAACAGCCUUAAAGCCUUUUAUAUAUAAAUCACACGAAAAUGAAAUGUUCCCUCAAGAAACAGGUGACCUGGCUGAGUCCACGACGCAACUGGCACGUUCACCUGCAGACCCUGCUGACAGACGCCCGGGGUCUCAGAUCCACACCAGCGACGCCGUCCAGUCGUGUAACCCAGAGUCUGCAGCAGGUCUGCCCAACCCCCGUGGGUCCCUCAGCGGCCUGGGGAGACGGAAGGACUGCAGGGUUUCCAGCCUCUCUUUAGAACACAUUCUUGGCUAAAGAGUUGAGACCAACAAGAGGAGGAUUGUGACCCACAAGCUCUCAGAGUUAGACUUCUGCUUCUCAAAAUCCAACCAUUCCUUCAAGCCUUCCAGCCUACCAACACCACUCCAGCUUCCUCUCAUGUACUGUGUUUUCUCACAGCAUUUUUAAAACUCAGUUUUAUAGAGGCCUAGAUUACAUAGAAUAAAAUGUACCAAUUUUAAGUAUAAAAUUUGGUACGUGACACAAACGUAAAGCUGUGUGGCCAACACCUCAAUCAAGACGUAAAACACUUUCUCCACCCAAAUCACUUCAUCAAGCCCUUUAGCCAUCAACCAUCCCCCUCCACUUGGCCC
rnacentral:lncRNA from 1 species